AUACGUAGGGGGCGAGCGUUGUCCGGAAUGAUUGGGCGUAAAGGGCGCGUAGGCGGCCCGGUAAGUCUGGAGUGAAAGUCCUGUUUUUAAGAUGGGAAUUGCUUUGGAUACUGUCGGGCUUGAGUGCAGGAGAGGUAAGUGGAAUUCCCAGUGUAGCGGUGAAAUGCGUAGAGAUUGGGAGGAACACCAGUGGCGAAGGCGACUUACUGGACUGUAACUGACGCUGAGGCGCGAAAGUGUGGGGAGCAAACAGGAUUAGAUACCCUGGUAGUCCACACUGUAAACAAUGAAUGCUAGGUGUAGGGGGUAUCGACCCCUUCUGUGCCGCAGUCAACACAAUAAGCAUUCCGCCUGGGGAGUACGGCCGCAAGGUUGAAACUCAAAGGAAUUGACGGGG
rnacentral:rRNA from 1 species